AUUCAUUUCUCUAACCAGCCAAUAAUGUAAAUCAACACACUGUAAUGGAAAAACGCACAACAACCCUGGUCAGGAGAUCUGCCGUCUGGUCCUACCUUAGCUACUGACUCACUGUUAGCCCCGAGGGAAAUUUUUUUCAAUUCCGUUGGAACUUUUCUUCACCUCCUACGAAGACUAGGAAGAAGAGUGAUCAAAAGGAAAGCCAGUAACAGCAAGAAACAGGGAAAAUACAUCAUCAUCCAGAGAGAAAACUGUCACCAUUAUUCUCAGCUCUAUGACAAGUGAAUUGCUUCUAGGACUAUUUCACAAAGUACUGAAGUACCUGCUAUUUGAAGCAUUUAACCAAAAAGGAUGGAUGGUCAUCUGGCAAAGACACUAUCAAAGCCAUGCCUAUAUGGAGAGAAGAGACUAGCU